CAAUAGUUGCCUAUUUGCAUCGGCAAAAUUGGGCCGUCGCGAAAAUAUGGGAGGUCUGCCACUGCGUUAAUGUGCCGUGGUAAUAGCUGUCGCAAAACAAUGAUCUAUGCUUCGGUAAAACUUUGCCGACGCAAAGCAUUUUGUAAAUUGCUGCUGCAUGGAGGUGCCGUUGCGUUAAUACUUAUUUUGAGAAGCCCACUUAUUCGAUUAGAAAAACACAGUCUCUCUUUCUCUCUCUCUUCCUCCAUUUGAAGCCUUCAGCUUUGUUUCUAUUCUCUCUGGAUCUGACUCGUAGCCGAUUAAUCUCCAGGCCUCGACCAAUCGUUAAUUGAGGUUAGAAGUUGCUCGGAUUUUGGUCAAAUUGAAAACCCAAGCUUGAGCCAUUCGAUCUCUCUCUUCGUCAAACCCUAAAAUUUCAUUCCCAGAUGCCAAGUUUUCUGCCAGUCUAGUCCCUGUCGAAUCUAUGCCUUAUCUCCAGGCCUCCACCAAGAUGGCUUUGGAAUCCCAUACAUUUGGAUCGUACAAAAUCGACAGCAGGGAAGUGUUUUACGACACUAAUCUAUCGUAUGCCUUGGUUAAUUUGCGCUCUGUUGUUUCUGGUACCGUUCUUACUCUCUUAUACUUAUUAGAAAUUUAGAAUGUAGAAAUAAGUAUAAAAGUUGCAAACUUGAUGACCAAUUUCCCUCUUUUCUCUGCAUGUCAAAUCCUUUUGUUUUUGGUUUGAAUUGAAAUGGUGUUUUGGGUUCAGUCAAGACAUUGUUUUGCUUAUGAAAGUUGGAAAAUUUCUUUCUUCUAGUGACUUUUGGUUGCUUGUAAAGAAUGGUAUAUAUGUGUUGAACUACUUGAUUGACUGGAUUUCAUUUUUGAGUAUGCAUAACCAUUAUAGAAGAAAAGUGUUCCUCACUAUGCUUGAAUUUGGGUUUCUUUUGACACUGGAAUGUAAGCAAAUAAUGGCCUGGUAGUUCCAAUACUAAUUAAGCACAUACUGGAUGGACCCUGUUGAACAUUCUACAUGUGUGUACAUCUGCGUAUUGGAAACAUGAUCGUGCAGUGUAUGUGUUUGUAUGCUUGCACUAGCAUGCCUAUCCAUUCCAAAGUAUUUGGAUGAAGCCUCUUUUGCAUGCAACUAUAUGAGUAGCAAGUUUCUGUGGAAUCAUAUACUUAAUUUGUGAUCUUUGGAUAAUAGCCAAAAGGUUGGCAGUCGGCUUGAGAGCUACCACAAAGCAACAUCUCUAACAUUGAUGAUUCAAGUGUAUGGAUGGGGCCGAGGGGAACAUGGUAGACUUGGUUUCGGCGAUAAUGAUAAGAGCAGUAAAAUGGUCCCGCAAAAGGUUCAUCUUUUAGCUGGGGAGGAUAUCGUUCAGGUGUCUUGUGGAGGCACUCACUCUGCUGCAUUAACACGUGAUGGGCGCAUUUUCUCGUGGAGGGAGGGGUUGUGCUUGAUGAGAGAUUUGCUUCAGUGAUUUAGUGACUGGGUAUAAACUUGAUUUCAACUAGUUGAUAAAAAAGUAAUAUUUUGUAAGGAGCCAUUCUUCUAUGGACAUGAUAACUACGAUCAGCUAGUGAAACUAGCAAAGUGUAGGACCUAUUGCUAUAGAGAGAAGAAGAGUGGUGGAGAAGGAGAUAGACACAAAGAAGAACAUAGCUAUCAAUGAAUGAAUGAAGCAAAGAAGAAUACCAAUGCGGUUGAACUUAUGCGCUUGAAUUCUGAUUAUGUAGGUCAUGAUACUUAGCCUACUGAGCGUCAGCAUUAUGUAUUUUAAUUUUUGAAUGUUUUUGUAUUUUCAAGAUUGGUGAAGUUGUAUGAAAUGUAUAGAAAUAAUGUGAAAAAAACAUAUGAAAUUAUGAUUUAUAUGGCU